rnacentral:rRNA from 1 species
CCUACGGGCGGCAGCAGUGGGGAAUAUUGCACAAUGGGGGAAACCCUGAUGCAGCGACGCCGCGUGAGUGAAGAAGUAUUUCGGUAUGUAAAGCUCUAUCAGCAGGGAAGAAAAUGACGGUACCUGACUAAGAAGCCCCGGCUAACUACGUGCCAGCAGCCGCGGUAAUACGUAGGGGGCAAGCGUUAUCCGGAUUUACUGGGUGUAAAGGGAGCGUAGACGGCAGCGCAAGUCUGGAGUGAAAUCCCAUGGCUUAACCAUGGAACUGCUUUGGAAACUGUGCAGCUGGAGUGCAGGAGAGGUAAGCGGAAGUCCGAGUGUAUCGGUGAAAUGCGGAGAUAUUAGGAGGAACACCAGUGGCGAAGGCGGCUUACUGGACUGUAACUGACAUUGAUGCUCGAAAGUGUGGGUAUCAAACAGGAUUAGAUACCCCAGUAGUC